ACAUGAGAAGGUGAUCUGGCUGUGACAUCUGUCACCACAGUGAUCUGCAGUGUGGACAGGCUGACAUGGCUGGUGAGGCGUCCCCUGCCUCCUUGACUGCUUCACAUGCAUCCCUCCUGAGACUACAGAGAGGACGCCUCUCCUGGAUGGAGGAGCACUGUCCUGCAGUCCAGGGCAAAUGGCUAGCCUUCUCUCCUGCAAGAGCCUCCAAACCAAAAAAAUAGUUUUUUGAGAAAAACCAUUUGCAACAGGAGAAACUUGGGACAUUGACCUUCAGUGUCCACACCUGGAGCUUUAUUAGACAGCUUGUCC
ensembl:misc_RNA 7SK 7SK RNA